GCGAGCAAGUUCCUCUGGUGCAUCGCUAGGGUACUGCCUCCUGCAGUCCGCUUUUAUCUUUACUUGCAGAGUUGUAGCUGUCCAUCAAAGUAGGGGGAUGCAAUCUCCACCCCCACAUGGCCCGAGGGUGUUCAGCUUCAUGGUAGUUGUCACGUAGCCGGGACUUGCACGUGACACAGGUGCUUCUAAGAACAAAUGGUCAAAACCGUUGCAUUGUCUCUCACUUCCGAGUCCCGAAUUAAUAGCGAUCUUGCGAUUCUCCGGAAGGAGAGGGCUGCUCCCGCUCCUUCGGCCCCUCAGAGCUGUGGUACAUUCAUAACACCAUGAAGAUUGGAGGAGUUGUGGAUGGAGCUGUAGGUGGUCGAAGGUUACAAGAGGAUAUAGACAGGAUGCACAGUUGGGCAGAAAAAUGGCAGAUGGAGUUCAAUCCGGACAAGAGUGAGGUGAUUCAUUUUGGAGGGACAAACCAGAAGACUGAGAACAGGAUUAAUGAUGAUAUCAGAUGGAAUCUCCACUGCGUAACAGAGUGAUCCAGCUCUCUCCUUAAUCUUUCCAAGUACCCACUUUUGGGGAUGUGGCAUGCAAAUGAUGGAUGGAUCUCCGAUCAAGUUGUAGUUGUCUCAGCUAAUCAUGGCCCCAUGAU